UAUUAGCUAUGAAGAUGAAUAUUCAGCUUUAUGCCAGUUCUGCUUCUGAAAAAUCGUGAUUGUUAAAGUUGUUAAAUUUUCUGAGCCUCUC